rnacentral:lncRNA from 1 species
CAGAGAUCUCCAGUCCCCGUCGUCUCAACAGAAACCACUUAGGGAGGAUGUGCCCAUCCCGAGACUCCCUUUGCUCAAAGUGGAGACCAAAGCUCAUCGUUCUUCCGUGAACCAGGGGAGUCUUUGUUCUUCUGGGAGUUAAAUGUGGCUAAGGCAGUGUGCUGUGGGAUCUCACCAGGCUACUGAGAACCAUUAUCCUGAUGAAUGAGUCAAUGGCCAGCUUUGCUUUCCAGUGUUCAGAAGUUGGGAAUACAGAGGAAGGUAACCUGAACCUGAUAGGUCCAGAACUCCUCUUCCUGAAGAUACCCCCAGGACACAGAAACCAGCAGCAUGGUUUUUAAAAGGAAAGGAUUGCUUCUUCCUGCUGGACUUCCUUCACAAUUGGUGCUCAGUUUUUAAGAGCAAGUUGGAAAUCUAGGCAUGGUUGUUUAUGCUGUAAUCUCAGCCCAUGGGAAGCCAAGGCAGGAGGAUUGUUGUUAAUUCAUGAUCAGCCUAGCCUACAUAGUAAGUGUCAGUGCAUCCAGAACUACAGUAUUAGUCUCAAUGAAGCAGAACCAACCAAACCAAACUGAAGGUUGGACAUGGUGAUUUUCACUUCCUUCCUAUGUUUUCUUGGGGAAACUCCUAAGCUAUCUCCCAUGAGAGCUUAGUCAUCACUUAAAAUACGUCUUUUCCCUCCAAGAAUUGUGCCCACAAAUAAACACUGUAUCUUUGUAGCA